AAGCGCGGGCACACAGUCGCCUCUUCGGAGGAGGAAAGUCCGGGCUCCGCAGAGCAGGAUGCCUUCUAACGGAAGGACGGGGUAACCCGAUGGAAAGUGCCACAGAAAAUAUACCGCUUUCGUUCAUUUGAAAGUAAGGGUGAAAUGGUGAGGUAAGAGCUCACCGGGCUUUUGGCAACAAGGGUCGCAUGGUAAACCCCAUCCGGAGCAAGAUCAAAUAGAGGAAAAGAAACGGCUCGUUUCGCUAUGAUUCCUGGGUUGAUUGCUUGAGCUUCUUGGCAACAAGCGGCCUAGAUAGAUGACUGUGCCAGACAGAACCCGGCUUACCGCCUGCGCUUAUAA
rnacentral:RNase_P_RNA from 1 species